ensembl:lncRNA
CAUUUUGACUCAAGCCAGGUGAUGACGGACAGUACCAGGUAAAUUCAAUAUUUAACUAAUUGAGGAGGCAGCAGAAGCGGCAGAGGAUCAUGGGAUAGUCGGCAAAUACAGACUUCGCCGCCAGGCUGACUGCGAAUUUUGCAAGUUUGGGACUCUUCACUGAAGAUUUAGCUUAGAAAAGGUACUCUAAUUCUUGACUGAGAGAUUUACUUGGAAAAUGAGAAAUUCCUGGACUACACUACUUGCCUAAAGCUUCUUCUGGUUGGAGUCAGUCCUUAAGGCUCUAAGCUUGGCCAGAGCAGUGAACACACGGAUCUCAAACAUCCUGUCAACGUGAUUGCAGCGUCACAGCCAUCAGAUGGAAAUGCACCCCAAAGCAGGGGUGAGUGGAUGUUUCUUCAGUAGUCAGCAUUUUGAGAAAUGUGUACCACAUUGACACCAAAAAUAUAUUUUAAAAACUCACCAGAUGUCAAACUGCCACCUUCGUUACUGCUCUGAAAAGUUUAUAAAGCUUUAAAGACACGCCCACCAAAAGCCAGUUUAAA